rnacentral:rRNA from 1 species
AGAGUUUGAUCCUGGCUCAGAACGAACGCUGGCGGUAUGCUUAACACAUGCAAGUCGAACGCGAAAGUCUCUUCGGAGGCGAGUAGAGUGGCGCACGGGUGAGUAACACGUAGAUAACCUGCCCCUUAGUCUGGGACAACCUUCUGAAAAGAGGGCUAAUACCGGAUAAUACUUUUAGCCAUACGGUUUUAAGUUGAAAGAUUUAUCGCUGGGGGAUGGGUCUGCGCACCAUUAGCUUGUUGGUGAGGUAACGGCUCACCAAGGCGACGAUGGUUAGCGGGUCUGAGAGGAUGGUCCGCCACACUGGAACUGAGACACGGUCCAGACUCCUACGGGAGGCAGCAGUGGGGAAUUUUGCGCAAUGGGCUGAUGCCUGACGCAGCAAUACCGCGUGAGUGAAGAAGGCCCUUGGGUCGUAAAGCUCUUUUUUCGGGGAAGAUAAUGACGGUACCCGAAGAAUAAGCGCCGGCUAACUCCGUGCCAGCAGCCGCGGUAAUACGGAGGGCGCGAGCGUUGUUCGGAUUUACUGGGCGUAAAGGGCGCGUAGGCGGCCCGGCCAGCCAAGGGUGAAAUCCCGGAGCUUAACUCCGGAACUGUUCUUGGAACUGCCGAGCUUGAGAUGGCUAGAGGCGGGUGGAAUUCCUGGUGUAGAGGUGAAAUUCGUAGAUAUCAGGAGGAACACCGGAGGCGAAGGCGACCCGCUGGAGCCAUUCUGACGCUGAGGCGCGAAAGCGUGGGUAGCGAACGGGAUUAGAUACCCCGGUAGUCCACGCCGUAAACGAUGAAUACCGGCUGUUUGGGAAAUCGACCUCUCAAGUGGCGCAGCUAACGCGAUGAGUAUUCCGCCUGGGGACUACGGUCGCAAGACUAAAACUCAAAGGAAUUGACGGGGGCCCGCACAAGCGGUGGAGCAUGUGGUUUAAUUCGACGCAACGCGAAGAACCUUACCUGGGUUUGACAUCCCCGGCCCGCCCCGGAAACGGGGUUUUCCCUUCGGGGACCGGGUGACAGGUGCUGCAUGGCUGUCGUCAGCUCGUGUCGUGAGAUGUUGGGUUAAGUCCCGCAACGAGCGCAACCCUUGUCCUUAGUUGCCAGCGGUUCGGCCGGGAACUCUAAGGAGACUGCCGGUGUUAAGCCGGAGGAAGGUGGGGAUGACGUCAAGUCCUCAUGGCCUUUAUAUCCAGGGCUACACACGUGCUACAAUGGCGGCUACAAAGAGUCGCGAAACCGCGAGGUGGAGCUAAUCUCAAAAAAGCCGUCUCAGUUCGGAUUGCAGUCUGCAACUCGGCUGCAUGAAGUUGGAAUCGCUAGUAAUCGUAGAUCAGCGUGCUACGGUGAAUACGUUCCCGGGCCUUGUACACACCGCCCGUCACACCAUGGGAGUUGACAUUGGCAGAAAACGCUGAGCUAACUUUGGAGGCAGGUGUUGAAGCUAGUGUUGAUGACUGGGGUGAAGUCGUAACAAGGUAACCCUAA